AGUGAAUAGAUACCCGGGUAGUCCACGCCGUAAACGAUGAGUACUAGGUGUAGGAGGUAUCGACCCCUUCUGUGCCGCAGUAAACCACAAUAAGUACUCCGCCUGGGAAGUACGAUCGCAAGACUAAAACUCAAAGGAAUUGACGGGGGCCCGCACAAGCAGCGGAGCAUGUGGUUUAAUUCGAAGCAACGCGAAGAACCUUACCUGGACUUGACACACCCUGAAUAGUGCAGAGAUGCAUGAAGCCCUUCGGGGCAGGGAUACAGGUGGUGCAUGGUUGUCGUCAGCUCGUGUCGUGAGAUGUUAGGUUAAGUCCUGCAACGAGCGCAACCCCUGUUGUUAGUUGCUAGCAUUAAGUUGAGCACUCUAGCAAGACUGCCGCGGUUAACGCGGAGGAAGGUGGGGAUGACGUCAAAUCAUCAUGCCCCUUAUGUCCAGGGCAACACACGUGCUACAAUGGGCAGUACAGAGAGAAGCAAGACCGCGAGGUGGAGCAAACCUCAAAAACCUGCCCCACGUUCGGAUU
rnacentral:rRNA from 1 species